rfam:Trichomonas vaginalis G3, whole genome shotgun sequence.
UACUUGGUUGAUCCUGCCAAGGAAGCACACUUAGGUCAUAGAUUAAGCCAUGCAAGUGUUAGUUCAGGUAACGAAACUGCGAAUAGCUCAUUAAUACGCUCAGAAUCUAUUUGGCGGCGACCAACAGGUCUUAAAUGGAUAGCAGCAGCAACUCUGGGUGCUAAUACAUGCGAUUGUUUCUCCAGAUGUGAAUUAUGGAGGAAAAGUUGACCUCAUCAGAGGCACGCCAUUCGACUGAGUGACCUAUCAGCUUGUACUUAGGGUCUUUACCUAGGUAGGCUAUCACGGGUAACGGGCGGUUACCGUCGGACUGCCGGAGAAGGCGCCUGAGAGAUAGCGACUAUAUCCACGGGUAGCAGCAGGCGCGAAACUUUCCCACUCGAGACUUUCGGAGGAGGUAAUGACCAGUUCCAUUGGUGCCUUUUGGUACUGUGGAUAGGGGUACGGUUUUCCACCGUACCGAAACCUAGCAGAGGGCCAGUCUGGUGCCAGCAGCUGCGGUAAUUCCAGCUCUGCGAGUUUGCUCCCAUAUUGUUGCAGUUAAAACGCCCGUAGUCUGAAUUGGCCAGCAAUGGUCGUACGUAUUUUUACGUUCACUGUGAACAAAUCAGGACGCUUAGAGUAUGGCCACAUGAAUGACUCAGCGCAGUAUGAAGUCUUUGUUUUCUUCCGAAAACAAGCUCAAUGAGAGCCAUCGGGGGUAGAUCUAUCUCAUGACGAGUGGUGGAAUACUUUGACUCAUGAGAGAGAAGCUGAGGCGAAGGCGUCUACCUAGAGGGUUUCUGUCGAUCAAGGGCGAGAGUAGGAGUAUCCAACAGGAUUAGAGACCCUGGUAGUUCCUACCUUAAACGAUGCCGACAGGAGUUUGUCAUUUGUUAAUGGCAGAAUCUUUGGAGAAAUCAUAGUUCUUGGGCUCUGGGGGAACUACGACCGCAAGGCUGAAACUUGAAGGAAUUGACGGAAGGGCACACCAGGGGUGGAGCCUGUGGCUUAAUUUGAAUCUACCCGGGGAAACUUACCAGGACCAGAUGUUUUUUAUGACUGGACGGGCUUUCGGGUCUUUCCAGAAAUUUGUUUUUUGGGGGG